CUAAUUGAUAACAUCCCCACAUUGACAUGCCCACACAAAGAUUGUAAGGAAAACUCUGCUGUUGAUCCUGGAGAGAGAUGUAGAAACGCUACAUAUGAGCACUCUACAUGCAAGAAUAAAGAAAAAAGCCGCUAUGUUAUGUGGUCUACUGGGAACAAGUGGAAAUGUGUGAUGUGCAAUGAACCAAAUACUUCUUGUAGUCAGGGGAACAAAACUGCCUGUAUCAAACAAC
rnacentral:lncRNA from 1 species